rnacentral:lncRNA from 1 species
UAUAAAAAAAUAAUACUCCUCCACAUUGCAACUUAUUUUCAUGUCUCCGUCUCCGUCGCUCCCUAUCCAAUCCUCCCCUCUCGCCUUGGGUCUUUCCCUGCCCCGUGUCACGGGCAAGACGGAUCUCGCCGCUGCUCCCCACCUCCCUCUCCCCGCGGCAGGCGCCGGAGAUGCAGGUGACGGCCGCCGCCUUCCUCGCCCGCCCGCUCCCACGGCUCCGCCGGUGCGCGUGCCUGCCUUAAACCCCCCUCCCUCUCGCCUCCCCCUCCGCCCCCUCGUCGUGUUAUGUUAUUCCCUGUUUGUGGCGUGCUCAGAUGGUGAUGUGGUUUUGUUCGAUUCAGCAUUGACGGCUAGGGUCCGGAUGCGCCGGCGGUGCGCGGCGGUGCCGUAGCGCUCCCGCCGCGGCUGCGGGGGUCACGGUGCUCCAUCAGCCUCUCCAUCGGUGCCGGCGCUGGCGCUGGAGGUGACCGCGAGUUCAGCUACGGUAAGAGGCGUUGAAUUCGUAGCCUUCAUUUCUUUGAAGCCUCUCUAGGUUGACUUUGGUAGGGUAACAUAUGUUUCUUUUGGGUUGCCGAUGCAUGAAGUAAGGAAUAGCUGUACUGGCCUUUAGUUAGCAAACUGAUUCUAUUCUUUUAGUUUUAUUAGUAGGUAUCCAAUCCUGCAAUGCACACUGCUCAAUGUGAUCGUGAAUUCGUGAUGAGGAAAUUGGGUCACACUGGAUAUAUAGAAUGUAUUCAGGAGAACCAUGCAUUUUGGCAGGUAACCAAAUUGCGUUUAAUAGCCUUGUAUUUUGUGGUCAGUAGCCUACUCAAAGCGUGUGUGUUGGUUGUAUAUUAGUAGCUGCAUAUUGCCAUCCAAGAAUCUGUUAGCAAGCACUGAAAGUUUCUUAUAUGUUGAGGUGUGGGAGCAAGUCUUGUGUUCUGAGAGAGCAGCAACAAUUGUGGUGAGGCAAAAGAACAUGAAGCGAUGAUGCCAGAACAGCAUAGGCUUGUCGAUGGACAUGGAUGCUUUAACAAUGUUCAGAUGACGGGAUCUAACUGUUUUCUGUUUCAGGCCUUAUGGGAUCUAACUCCUGCCUGCUACCUAAUCUGUUCUCUCAGGUACUACUACAGCUGGUGAUUGUGAUUGUUAUUCCUGUUCUCAACAUCUUGGGUAUCCUGCGACAUGUAGGAAUCACUAAUAGAACAUAUUGAAUCUUGUGCAGUUUUAUCUCUUACCAUCUAAAGUAGCAGUUAAUUUGAGGCCAACAUGAUAACACAUUCAGUUUGUGUUUCGCUUAGCUAAUCUCUGUAUGGCAACCAAGAUAUGCUUUGAUCAUAUAUCUCCUAAAUCAAUCGGACCCUUUCAAUAUUAACAUAAAUAAAGUGUCCCAGGCCUUCCCCCACCUCUGUAACUUGACUAGUGCCAAGGUGUACUGCUAAUCUGCUAAUAUAUUAGUUGAAUUCGUAAAUCCUCAUGUAUUAGGCAUUAGCUGCUGAACUAUAUAGUCCCCCCUGGAAUUAGCGGCAUUAUUGUGAGUUCUGCCUCUUAAUGCUGUUUUGUUCUAGGUCAGCUCAUUUUAGGUAAUUUACUUAUUCUUCUAUAGGGUGCUAGAAGACUGGAUGCCUAUUGAGGUCAGAUCAUUUUAGGUAAUUUACUUACUCUUCUUUAGUCUCUAGUCUCUACCCUCAAAUCGAUAGUGUCAACACUUACUACAACUCAUGCAAAUGCAGACAACAAUUGUGAAGCUAGUAAACAAUUUUCUGCAGCCAUCUUUUUGUUUCACUUGAUGUAGUUGUCAUUGCUACCUGUCUUGUCUUCAUAUUUCAUUUCUUACUGUAACCAUGCUCAUUGGUUGGUUCCAUUUAUCUUGUUUUAAUUGUAGAGAGGGACCAGAGAGAUGUGCAGAAGCUGUUGCAUUGCCAACACAAGCCUGUUAGGAAACAAUAGUUACUUGACUCCUACUUAUCAUCUUUUAUUUCUAUGGUAGCUUAGUUAAAUUGAUAAACAGAGCUCUGUAAUACAUUUGCAACAAUAGUGUUUAGAUGGCAGCUUACUUACACAUGACUAGUUGUGAACUUAAUUAAUUGAUUUAGUCUAGAGUGUUGUUAAAACAAUGCAUGAUGUUGGUGUAGUGAGAUCAUAUAUGCAUAGAUUAUUGUAACUAUUGUUUGAUUUCUUCCAGCUUACAUAUGAAAAGUUUCUUUUUGACUUUUUCAUUUGUUUCAACAAGUGAUGUUUGUUUCUAAUGUGUUUUAUACAGGAUAUGGAGAAAUUUCAGCAACCUAAGCUAUUCACUCAAGCUCCUGACACCAAAAACACCUAGCUGCCAGCACCUGUUGAACUAUUAGUGUGGUGACUAAUGUCACUUGUGAGAUAGGGAUGUGAGAUUUCCAUUUGUUUAAAUUAUCUGAGAUAACUUUGUGACUAAGUUCACUUAUUGAACUAUAAUUUGGUGUUCGUGAUGAAUGUAAUAAAUAUAUUGAUGAAUGACUUGUGAACCUGUUGGUUUGGUCAUGAAUGGAAUAUAUUGUUGGACAUAUAUUUGUUAAUGUGGAUUGUUUGAUGUGUGGGUGGGGUACGUGAUGGUAUGGAUCGAGC